GGUUGAGAGGGUGAUCUGGUUGGGACAUCUGUCACCCCAUUCAUGCCAGGGUUGAUUUGGCUGCUCUGGUUGGCCAGGCAGGUGUCCCUGUCCUUCCUAACUGCUGCAUGUGCACACCUCCCAAAACCGCAUGCUUGAUCCAAGAGAACGACCGCGCCCAUAGAGGAAAAUUGUUCUUCAGCCAAGGAUCUAUGAGUAGCUAUGCUGUCCUGUUAGAACCUCCAAUCAAGCUCUCAAAGUCCAUUUGUAGAAGAACAGACUGUAGUCAAGCUUCCAAAGCUCCAGACACAUCCAAUGAGGCACUGAAUGUGGCAGUCUACAUUUUU
rnacentral:snRNA from 1 species